AACGAACGCUGGCGGCAGGCCUAACACAUGCAAGUCGAACGCUCGUAGCAAUACGAGAGUGGCAGACGGGUGAGUAACACGUGGGAACCUUCCCUAUGGUUCGGAAUAGCCCAGGGAAACUUGGGGUAAUACCGGAUAAGCCCUUACGGGGAAAGAUUCAUCGCCAUUGGAUGGGCCCGCGUCGGAUUAGCUAGUUGGUGGGGUAACGGCUCACCAAGGCGACGAUCCGUAGCUGGUCUGAGAGGAUGAUCAGCCACACUGGGACUGAGACACGGCCCAGACUCCUACGGGAGGCAGCAGUGGGGAAUAUUGGACAAUGGGCGCAAGCCUGAUCCAGCCAUGCCGCGUGAGUGACGAAGGCCGUAGGGUUGUAAAGCUCUUUUGGCGGGGAAGAUAAUGACGGUACCCGCAGAAUAAGCUCCGGCUAACUUCGUGCCAGCCGCCGCCGUAA
rnacentral:rRNA from 1 species